rnacentral:rRNA from 1 species
GACGAACGCUGGCGGCGUGCCUAAUACAUGCAAGUAGAACGCAGUUGCGAACGGGUGAGUAACGCGUAGGUAACGGCCUCAUAGCGGGGGACAGCUAUUGGAAACGAUAGGUAAUAACGCAUACUGUGAGCUUGACCUGCGUUGUAUUAGCUAGUUGGUGAGGUAAAGGCUCAAGAAGGCGACGAUACAUAGCCGACCUUAGAGGGUGGUAGGGCAACCUGGGACUGAGACGCGGGCCAGACUCCUUCGGGGGGCAGCAGUAAGGAAACUUCGGGAAUGGACGGAAGUCUUACCCAGCAACGCCGCGUGAGUGAAGAAGGUUUUCGGAUCGUAAAACCCUGUUGUUAGAGAAGCGGUAACUAACCAGAAAGGGACGGCUAACUACGUGCCAGCAGCCGCGGUAAUUC